rnacentral:lncRNA from 1 species
GUUCCAUGGAAUCACAUCAAGAUUAAAAUGUGUUAGAAGCUAGAGAAGAAUAAUUGCAACUUAAUAUAUUCGCAGGCAAUAUAACAUAAUAGCUAUUGCUUUAUGUAAAUGUAGUUGAUAAUCAAACUUUCUAAAACCUUCAAUUGUAUGAAUGCUUCAAACUAUCUUUAAUAUUUGAUGUUAAGAAAUAUUUCUUUCUGUUGAGUCCUAGACCUUUUGUUUUUAAUUCAAGCAAUCAAACUGCCAAAUUACUGUAAUUAUUAACAGCAUAGGUCAUUGAUAAUCAGUUGAAUUUUAGAACUGCUUUGGGAAACCCUAUUUUGUAAUGAGACACAUUACUUCUUGCAUUAUUGUAUUGUAAGGUCAAUGGGAUAAACUGCUUGAUGCACAGUAGAUUUUAUAAUCUUAAAUAUAGUUG